AUACGUAGGGUGCGAGCGUUAAUCGGAAUUACUGGGCGUAAAGCGUGCGCAGGUGGUUUUGUAAGUCAGAUGUGAAAUCCCCGGGCUUAACCUGGGAACUGCGUUUGAAACUACAAGGCUAGAGUGUGGCAGAGGGGGGUGGAAUUCCGCGUGUAGCAGUGAAAUGCGUAGAUAUGUGGAGGAACACCGAUGGCGAAGGCAGCCCCCUGGGUCAGCACUGACGCUCAGGCACGAAAGCAUGGGGAGCAAACAGGAUUAGAAACCCCAGUAGUCC
rnacentral:rRNA from 1 species